UCAUCAUGCCCCUUAUGACCUGGGCUACACACGUGCUACAAUGGUUGGUACAACGGAGUUGCGAGUCGGUGACGGCGAGCUAAUCUCUUAAAGCCAAUCUCAGUUCGGAUUGUAGGCUGCAACUCGCCUACAUGAAGUCGGAAUCGCUAGUAAUCGCGGAUCAGCAUGCCGCGGUGAAUACCGGUUCCCGGGCCUU
rnacentral:rRNA from 1 species